GUAUUUUGGGGGUGACCACAAAAUGGUCGGCUUCUCCGAUUCAAUCGUAUUGAGUUACGAUGACCGCAAAUCUCCUCCGCCUAUCUAUAAAACCAAAAACCUCCCAUUUGUUACUCUUCCCAUUCCAAUUCUCUUUGUUAUGAUCAAAGAGUUUUAUCUCUAACACAAAUGGCAUGGAGAUAUGUCUGCUCAAUAUUUCUUAGGGUUAAAUCACGCUCUUCUUCUUUAGGAUAUUGCAAAAUCUGAAUGGAGCUGCAUUUUAAUCAAAUUGGUAUCACCAUACUUUUUGGCGCAAUUGCUUAGUGACAGCAUCGUUUUUUUUGUACAAUUAUAUGAAAUUCUGAUAUUCUCAAAUAACACUCUAUACAAGUUCAUCUUGAUAGUUUAGAAGGGAGUGGUCUCCUCAUACUUCUGGUGUCGUGAAAGAGAGACAUUGUUCUUAAAAUUUCACGGAAUUUGGACUUUGUGGGAAAGUAGGCGCUGAGACUUUGAAGCAAACGUAAGAUGGGGAGAGCAAAAUUGAAACUGCAUAAAUUGGAUGGUAGCAACCGUAUAGGAGUAUAUUCAAGGAGAAAGAAAGGACUCUUGAAGAAAGCUAAUGAGCUUUCAGUAUUGUGUGACAUUGACAUCUUUCUUGCCAUGUUUUCACCAAGCGGAAAGCCUAGUGUAUACAAGUCAGAGACCAGUAGCUUCGAGGACAUGAUUACCAAGAUUGUCGAAGUGAAUCCAGAAGAAAGGGCAAAAAGGAAGAUGGAGUGUCUUGAAACAAUAAAGAAAGCGUGCAAGAAGUCUGAUCACGAUGUAAAUAUAGGAGAACAGCUCUGUCCUGGGGAUUUGACAACGGAGGAUAUAAAUUUUCUCUCACAUUCAUUAAGAAUUCGACUUUCAGACAUCGAGGGUAGACUCAGGCUCUGGAAGAAUCUUGACAAGAUUGACAACAUUCAACAACUUAGGAAAUUGGAGGAUUCAAUUUCAAAAUCUCUUAACGAAAUCGCAAAGCAUAAGUAUGGGAUGAGAUCAUUAAUUUUUAGUAACGGGGAAGAUAUUCAUCCUUCUUCAGUCCAACAUGGUAUGGAUUUACCUUCAAACUUUGAUGCAAGGGAAGAGACCCAUCAAUGUACAUUAAGUCAUGGUUGUGAUAGUGAGAAUACGGACGUGUACGAAGACCUGACUUCAUUUUGUUCAUCUUUACCUUCUGAUACUGGGCAAGACUUCCAGGCUUCUAUACUGAUGCAGCAUGGGAUUAACGCCUGGCAAGAGCUCCAUCAAUGCUCAUCAGUCCACGGUGGUAAUAAUGAAAAUAUCGAUGUGUACGACGACUUAAAUUCAUUCCCACUAGGGUAUUUGGAGGAACCGUCUUUUUCUUUUGAGAGCUACACAAAUCUUGUUUGCAACAAAGAAAUUGAGAUAUCUAAGCCGGAAUCCAAAUUUUUUCUACCUGAUGAAAUGUUUCUGGAUUGUGAAUUAAAUCAGGAAGAUAUUGAAAGAGAGUUUGGAUUUACUUUUGAUGUGCCACAAGUAGAACUAAUGGAUGCCCACGGAAAUAUUUUGGGCUGUUGCACCAAUAAUGGUUCCAUGCUUCCUCAUUCUGAUUUUGUUAACAUCCAUCAUAGUUCAACAUCAACAUCUGGAGCUUGUGACAAUAUGAUGUUAGCUGAAUCUCUAAACUUUUUAUGUGGGAUGGAUUCAUUAAGUUCUGAUGCUGGAGAAGAAUUUUCAACUUAUUCUUCGAUCACGCAUGGGACAAAUUCACUUUCAACCCAGCUCAAUGUAGGGUUAUCAGUCCAUGGUAGCGCUAGUGAAAAUAUGGAUGGAUACAACCUAAACGUAUUUGAUCCAUCUUUAAAAUUUGAUGACGAGCAUAAAUUUCAUUCUUCAUCAUCGAUCCAGUGUGGGAUAAAUUCACCAGUAAGUUUUGAUGCUGUGCAAGAGGGUAAUCGAUCUUCAUCAGUCCAUGGUGGUGAUAGUGAUAGUAUUUAUGUAUAUGAGGACCUAAAUUCGUUCGUACAAGGGUUUUUAGAGGAUCCCUCUGUAUCUUUUGAGAGCUCUGCAGAUCCUGCUUGCAAUCAUGACAUUCAAAAUUGUAAGCCUGGAUAUGAAAAUUGUUCAGCGGAUAAAACGUUUCUUGAUUGUCAAAUAAAUCAGGAAGAUCUUGAAAUAGCAUUUAGAUCUACUAUUGAUUUGCCACUGGUAGAGAAAAGGGAUGUCCAGGAAAGCACUUUUGACUGCCUCAACAAAGGUUUUGGAAUUCGACAACUACCAUCCAUCAUAGUGUAGAACCGGAACUUGUGACGAUAUGCCUCUCUCAACUUUCCUCAUGCUCAUCUCUCGUCCUUACUCAAACAUCAACAAAUCAACAAUGCUAACUGUAAAAAAUUGAAAUUUGAAAAAACUACUCAAUGGAGGGAUAAACCUAAAUGGGAUGCCUUCUCCAAAUGCAAGCUAGCUUUGUCUGAUGUUGAUUUUUCUGGUGUCUUCAACUCGACUCAUUUAUGGACAUGCGAGCUGAAGCUCUAUAGGUCUCCUUCAAUCCAGGACUACAUGCACAGGAAACCUAAAGGGCUCCAAUACCAUGCCACAUUACCAAAGGGAAUUGGAAUGCCAAAUUUGUAAUAUAUUUCUUCUAGUCUAGUUGAACUCAUUCAUAACAUUCUUUUUUUACCUCUAUAAAAGUAAUAUUUAUGUGCAAAGUAAUGUUGGCAUUUUAAGGUUGGUUUUCAUGUUCUGAAAUGGGGAAAAAUAAAUGUGAUGACAAAUCCAUAUAUAACAAUUUCAUACUUUUUCAUAGGCUUAA